ACGCUGGCGGCGUGCUAACACCAUGCAAGUUAACGAAGCUGAGGAGCUUGCUCCGAAAGCUUAGUGGCGCACGGGUGAGUAACACGUGGAUAAUCUACCUGUCAGUACGGGAUAACAGUUGGAAACGACUGCUAAUACCGCAUACGAUCCAAUUUUAUCGUUGGGUGAAAGAAGGCCUCUGCAUAUGCUUUCGCUGACAGAUGAGUCCGCGCCUCAUUAGUAGACGGUGGGGUAAUGGCCUACCGUGCCUACGAUGAGUAGCCGGCCUGAGAGGGUAAUCGGCCACACUGGGACUGGAACACGGCCAAAACUCCUACGGGGGGCAGCAGUGGGGAAUAUUGCGCAAUGGACGAAAGUCUGACGCAGCGACGCCGCGUGAGGGAUGAAAGGUCUUCGGAUCGUAAACCUCUGUCAGGAGGGAAGAAAAAGCAGGGUGCUAAUCAGCCCUGCCUGACGGUAACUCCAAAGGAAGCACCGGCUAAAUACCGUGCCAGCAGCCGCGGUAAUACGACGGUGCAACCGUUAAUCGGAAUCACUGGGCGGUAUAAGCACGCGCGUAAUGCGGGCUUUUGUAAGAUCAACACGGUGAAAAUCCCACCGGGGUCACCCCGUGGAACAUGGCCUUUUGAU
rnacentral:rRNA from 1 species